AAGAAUAGUGCAGCAUCUUCAGCAAGACAGCAGGAAGUAAGAGCAGCAGGAACAGUUAGUGAGUUCCACACUAACAUGAAGACAGCAAGAGAAGACUUGGGAGAGCGAGAGCAGCAGGUCCACAAAGGAUGCACAAGAAUAGUGUGGCAUCUUCAGUGAGGAAGCAGGAAGUGAGAGCAGCAGGAACAUUACAGGAGGAAUUCGGAUACAAUAGCAAGAACAGGACAAGAUUCCUCAAGAUACAAUCUUAAGCUAAGUUUAACCACUUCAUUUCAUUUCAAUCAAUGUACUACGUCACCACAUUUUCAAAAAAAAUUUAAUCUAAUUGUUGAUUUUAAUGUUUCAGCUACAGUUGAAGUGAGAACGCCUGAGAAGGCCUGUUGACAACAAGAGGAGCAGAUGGCAGUGAC